rnacentral:rRNA from 1 species
CCAGUGGUCAUAUGCUCGUCUCAAAGACUAAGCCAUGCAUGUCCAAGUUCAUAACUAAUAAAGUUGAAACUGCGAAGCGCUCAGUAAAUCAGUUAUAGUCUGUUCGAUCGUUCAAGCCCAUGGAUAACUGUGGCAAAUCUAUAGCUAAUACAUGUAAAAGCCCCCACCAUAGGGCACAUUUAUUGGCUAACCGACACCGCCCCCAGCAAUGGGGGCAGCAGGUGAAUCUAGAUAACUGUGCUUACCGCAUGGCCUUGCGCCGGCGGUAGUUUGAUCGAAUUUCUGCCCUAUCAACUAGUUGGUAAGGUAGUGGCUUACCAAGGUAGUAACGGGUAACGGGGAAUCAGGGUUCGAUUCCGGAGAGGGAGCCUGAGAAACGGCUACCACAUCCAAGGAAGGCAGCAGGCGCGCAAAUUACCCAAUCCAGACAUUGGGAGGUAGUGACGAGAAAUACUGGGGGCGCUCCAUGUGAGUGCCAUCCGGAAUGAACGUAACACAAAAAAUUCGAUGAGGAUCUACUGGAGGGCAAGUCUGGUGCCAGCAGCCGCGGUAAUUCCAGCUCCAGUAGUGUAUAUCAACAUUGUUGCGCUUAAAACGCUCGUAGUUGGAUUACAGGGCUCCAAACAGGUACGCCGCAUUGGCGUGGUUGGUCGUCGCACGCCCGCACGUCUGGGACACUGUUCUGGGCGUGUGGGUAGCUCGACGGAGCCCUUUUGUCGCACUGGCUCUGGCUGGCGUCUUGAUUGACGCCGGCUAGCCGCCGGUGGAGUGUGCCUUGAAUAAAGCAUAGUGCUCAAAGCAGGCGUACGCUCGUGUGUAAUAGCAUGGAACGAAUAGUUAUUGGCCGCGGGGCGUCAGUUGGUGCGAGCGAUCGCGUCAGCUGUGCGUGCCGUACGGUUCGAUCAGUGUUGGUUGGAAUCGCGGUCUCAACGGUUAAAAGGGACACCUGAGGGCACUAGUACUUUGUGGCGAGAGGUGAAAUUCUUAGACCCACAAAAGACUAACUACUGCGAAAGCAUUUGCCAAGAGUGUUUUCAUUAAUCAAGAACGAAGGUCAGAGGAUCGAAGACGAUCAGAUACCGUCCUAGUUUUGACAGCAAACUAUGCCAGCAUAGGGUCGGAGCGGUCGCUCGUUAACAGCGAGUCGUACCACUGCGGGCCUUACGGGAAACCUAGCUUUCGGGCUGCUGGGAGAAUAUCGCUGCAAGGCUGAAAUUUAAAGAAAUUGACGGAGAGGCACCACCAGGAGUGGAGCCUGCGGCUUAAUUUGACUCAACACGGGGAAACUCACCAGGUCCAGACAUUGGUAGGAUUGACAGACUGGUAGAUCUUUCAUGAUUCAGUGAAUGGUGGUGCAUGGCCGUUCUUAGUUGGUGGAGUGAUCUGUCAGGUCUAUUCCGGUAACGAGCGAGACCACGGCCUUUAGUUGGUGGUGUCGUCAAGCUGUCGGGGGAUGGUCGCAAGGCCGUCUGCCGGCACGGCGACAAGGCCUAACUAGAGGGACUAUUGGCGUUUUAAGCCAGGGGAAGCGUGGCAAUAACAGGUCUGUGAUGCCCUUCGAUGUCCUGGGCUGCACGCGCGCUACAAUGGCAGCAGUAGAGAGUUGGCUGGCCAGAGAUGGUUGGUGAAACUGUAAAUAGCUGUCGUGAUAGGGAUUGAGCCUUGUAAUUUUUGCUCAUGAAAGAGGAAUUCCUCGUAAGCACGAGUCAUCAGCUCGUGUUGAAUACGUCUCUGCCUCUUGUACACACCGCCCGUCGCUACUACCGAUUGAAUUGCUUCUAAAGCUGGCUGGACCGGACUUGCUGCCUUUGGGCGGCGAGCUGGGAGGGUCGACGAUGAUCCAUUAGAGAAGAAAAGUGACA